CCUACGGGAGGCAGCAGUGGGGAAUAUUGCACAAUGGGCGAAAGCCUGAUGCAGCAACGCCGCGUGAGCGAGGAAGGUAUUCGGUACGUAAAGCUCUAUCCGCAAGGAAGAUAAUGACGGUACGUGAGGAAGAAGCCCCGUCUAACUACGUGCCAGCAGCCGCGGUAAUGCGUAGGGGGCUAGCGUUAUCCGGAGUUACUGGGCGUAAAGGGGGCGUAGGGGGUUGGUUAGGUCUGAGGUGAAAGGCUGCGGCUAAACCGGAGAACGCCGUUGAAAAUGGUGGACUCGAGUGCAGGAGAGGAAUGUGGAAUUCGUAGUGUAGCGGUGAAAUGCGUAGAUAUUAGGAGGAACACCAGUGGCGAAGGCGGCUUGCUGGACUGUAACUGACGCUGAGGCACGAAAGCGUGGGGAGCAAACAGGAUUAGAUACCCCUGUAGUC
rnacentral:rRNA from 1 species